AACGAACGCUGGCGGCGUGGAUAAGACAUGCAAGUCGAACGGGAUUAUUUUUGUAGCAAUACAGAAAUAAUUCAGUGGCGAACGGGUGCGUAACACGUGGGCAAUCUGCCGAAAAGUGGGGGAUAGCUCGCCGAAAGGCGAAUUAAUACCGCAUGUGGUGAGGGACGACAUCUUCCUGAAUCCAAAGCCGGGGCAACCUGGCGCUUUUUGUAGGAGCCCGCGGCCUAUCAGCUUGUUGGCGGGGUAACGGCCCACCAAGGCUAUGACGGGUAGCUGGUCUGAGAGGACGACCAGUCACACUGGAACUGAGACACGGUCCAGACACCUACGGGUGGCAGCAGUCGAGAAUUUUUCUCAAUGGGGC
rnacentral:rRNA from 1 species